rnacentral:rRNA from 1 species
GGGUUGUGAGGUUAAGCGACUAAGCGUACACGGUGGAUGCCCUGGCAGUCAGAGGCGAUGAAGGACGUGCUAAUCUGCGAUAAGCGUCGGUAAGGUGAUAUGAACCGUUAUAACCGGCGAUUUCCGAAUGGGGAAACCCAGUGUGUUUCGACACACUAUCAUUAACUGAAUCCAUAGGUUAAUGAGGCGAACCGGGGGAACUG